UGGUAGCUAUUAAGAAUUUAAAUGGAAUUAUUAGGAAAGAGGUGAUUAUUAACAAUGGCCGGCGGGGGAGACGGAGAGAGUUUGAAGUAUACGCCAACGUGGGUGCUGGCGUUGGUGUGUACGGUGAUCGUCGCCAUCUCUUUGAUUGCAGAAAGAAUCCUUCACUACACUGGCAAGUUCUUGGUGAGGAAAAAGCAAUGGCCCCUUUUCGAAGCGUUGCUCAAGAUUAAGGAAGAGUUGAUGUUGCUUGGAUUCAUAUCACUGCUGCUCACUGUUUUCCAAGAUAGAAUCAGCACAAUAUGCAUAGCACAACAUUUAACAUAUGACUGGCUACCUUGCAAAAAGGAAAAAGAUGAUCAAGAAGGCGAUGGUGGUAGUGGCCACCGCCGCCUUCUUGCAGCGCCAUCUGAUGCUCAAGGCCAUUGUCAAUUAGAGGGGAAGGCUCCAUUGUUGUCUCUACAGGCAUUGCAUGAUCUCCAUAUAUUCAUAUUUGUGCUAGCUGUGGUGCAUGUUGUAUUCUCUGCUCUAACAAUUCUCUUUGGAAGCUUACAGAUUCGGCAAUGGAAACAUUGGGAAGAUGCUAUCCAGAAAAAGGAAGGCGAUCAAGAACAAGGGCAGCAACAGCAAGAAAAAGUAACACACAUCCACCAGCAUGAUUUCAUUAGAGGGAGGUUUCUUGGCAUUGGGAAAGACUUGGCUCUUUUGAGUUGGCUGGUAAGUGGUAGCUCUCAUUUUCUUCCAAAUACUACACUACUCUUUCUUGUAACUCUUCUUUUUCAGCACUCCUUUUUCAAGCAAUUUUAUGGAUCUGUGAAUGAACUAGAUUACACCACUCUUCGCCGCGGCUUCAUCAAUAAUCAUUACAGAGAUAAUCCCAAGUUCAACUUCUACAAGUACAUGCUCCGUGCUCUCGAAACUGAUUUCAAGAAAGUCGUCGGUAUAAGUUGGUAUUUAUGGAUUCUUGUGGUGCUUUUCUUGCUGCUCAAUGUUCAUGGAUGGCAUGCAUAUUUCUGGAUUGCAUUCUUGCCCUUGAUUCUUCUUCUUGCUGUGGGAGCAAAACUUGAGCACAUUAUCACUCAACUAGCAAGAGAAGUGGCUCAAAGGCAUGUAGCAAUACCUGGGGAGCUUGUGGUGAAGCCUUCUGAUCAUCAUUUCUGGUUCAACAAACCGCGUCUCGUCCUCAUCCUCAUCCACAUUAUUCUCUUCCAGAACUCCUUCGAGAUCGCAGUUUUCUUCUGGGUGUUGGUCUUGUAUGGCUUCGAUUCUUGCAUCAUGGGAGAAUUCGGCUACAUAAUCCCCCGGCUCAUAAUAGGGGUGCUGGUGCAGCUUCUUUGCAGUUAUAGUACCCUGCCACUGUAUGCCAUUGUUGCUCAGAUGGGAAGCUCAUUCAACAAGGCUAUAUUUGAAGAUCACAUACAAGCCAAGAUCACAGGCUGGGCAAACAAGGCAAAGAUAAACAGGAAAAAUGUAGACGGCGGCAAUAAAAAAACUCCCUCGCCGCAGCCACCUGCCACGGAGUCGACCACAGAUCAAGGCAGAGAAAUUGAAAUCCAAACUAUAAGUGCUCCAUCAAAUGGUCAGAACUGAGGGAUUUCAGAAUAUGGAGCUCUAAAAAGAAUGUAAUUCAAGAUUUCUGAGUAGUCAAUAAUUCAUAUAUAGCCAAAAGAGAAGUACAUGUAGCACUAUAAAUCUAUUGAUCAACUGCGAGUUUUCAGGUGGUGAGGAAAAUUUUGUUUACAACAUCCACAGGUAAUGCAUAAGCUGGAUCUAUAGCUUUGAGUCCGGGAUAUUCAAGAAGCGAAAGACCUGAAUUCACCAAAAAACAAAUGGCCAAGUGUUGCAUUUUAGCAAGUAAAACAUACAAAAAGGAGGGCAGUAGUAGUAGUAGUAGCUCAAAAUCUUACCAGCAACACCAAAAUAGGUGUGGAAGACAUCGACAGCAUCAUCAGGUCUGUCUGAGAUUCCACCAUUCUCUUUAUCCUGCGCCAUUCAAGGAUACAGCGUCAAAGAUUACUCUAUACAUAUUUCAUACGAGGAAAGAAUCACUCACAUCAGGAAGCUUCUCAGGGCGCCCGUUUAAACCUCCGGAUUUUACUUGACGUUCACAUAACCACCAUCCAAGGAGAUCCUUGUCAACAUGAUCUAGAGAACCAGUGAUAGCAAGAGCUCCCACACAACAGAAAACUGCAAUAACAACUCAGCAACAUGUGUCCACAUCAGUUAGUUUUGACACUUGGGCCAAACAUUUCAUUUUCCAGAAAUCCAGUCACAGAAAUCAAUGAUUUUGUGGUAUGACUUCUCCCGCAGCGGAAUAAGAGGGAUUAUGACUCGUACUAAGUUAAGUUAUCAGGUUUAUAAAUCUGUAGGUAUUAAUGUUCU